AUUGAACGCUGGCGGCAGGCCUAACACAUGCAAGUCGAACGAGUGGCGGACGGGUGAGUAAUGUCUGGGAAACUGCCUGAUGGAGGGGGAUAACUACUGGCAACGGUAGCUAAUACCGCAUACCAUCGGAUGUGCCCAAAUGGGAUUAGCUUGUUGGUGGGGUAACGGCUCACCAAGGCGACGAUCCCUAGCGGGGCUGAGAGGAUGACCAGCCACACUGGAACUGAGACACGGUCCAGACUCCUGCGUGAGGCAGCAGUGGGGAAUAUUGCACAAUGGGCGCAAGCCUGAUGCAGCCAUGCCGCGUGUAUGAAGAAGGCCUUCGGGUUGUAAAGUACUUUCAGCGGGGAUGCGUUACCCGCAGAAGAAGCACCGGCUAACUCCGUGCCAGCCGCCGCGGUAAUUC
rnacentral:rRNA from 1 species